UACACAUGCUUCAUUUUCCCCCAAAUUAAUUUCAAUAUAUUAACAAGGUUCAAAUCUCAAAAUCGCAUCGUGUUCGAAAUCGUAAUCAUUCUCCUCCAAAAUUUCAUCUUUUCUCAUUCUCUCUUACCUUUCGAAUUGUAUCUUUCAAUCCAAGGGUUUUAGCAAAACCUAACCCUAACCCUAAGUUUCCCAAUUUUUCUCUCUCGAUCUUACUCUCACUCUCACCAUCUCCGUAAUUUCAAACCGAUUCUUUAUCACUGCAUGCUCUUAGAUCUAAUCAUCAUCUCCCAAUCAUUGAAGUGACAUUGGUGGAGUUUAUUAUUAUCGGGGGUUUUGGGAAUGAAGAAUAAUAGGGAUUUGGGGAAUUUUGAUUGGGUUUUAAAGUGAUAUGAAGUGCUGAAUAUGAGCAAUGGCAGUGGGAAGACUGGAAAACAGCUUGAACAGGCUAACGCCACGCCGAGGAGGAGGAAAGUUGGUGGUAGUGAUGAAUUUGCGCAAUCUAUUGCGAAGAUUGCUGUAGCGCAAGUAUGCGAGAGUAAGGGUUUUCAGGGAUUUCAGCAGUCAGCACUUGAGACGUUGUCCGACGUUACUGCUCGGUAUAUUAUGAAUAUUGGGAAGUCUGCGAAUUGUUAUGCUAAUCUUGCUGGUAGAAAUGAAUGUAAUAUUUUUGAUGUAGUUCAAGGGUUGGAAGAUGUGGGAUUAAUGCAGGGGUUUACAGGGGCUUCGGAUAUUGAUCAUUGUCUCGAAGAUUCGGGUGUUGUUAGGGAAAUUGUUCAGUUUGUUAAUGAGGUUGAACCGGUUAUGUUUGCACACCCGAUUCCUCCGUUUCCAUUUGUGAAAGAACGGGUGCUGCCUCCGAGUUUUUUGAAAAAAGGAGAAGAGCCCCCUGAUGAGCAUAUUCCGGCGUGGUUGCCUGCAUUUCCAGAUCCGGAAACUUAUUCACAGUCAACUAUGGUGAAUGGAAGAGGGACAGAACCAGGUGUUUCCAAAUUUGAGCAUGGAAGAGAGAAUGGAAAGGUGGACCGGCCUCUGUUGAAUUCGCAGCAGAAGAUGGUCUCGAAUAUGUUUGAAAACACCACCAUGAUUGACCCUGCAAUUGCUAAAGCAAAGACAGUAGCAGCAGAAAGUAACCCUUUCCUUGCAGCCCCUUUGAAAAUUGAGGAUAAAGAAGUUGCUCCUGUUGCUCCUCCAGCUAAAUUCUUUAAUAAUAUUGUAGUUUCUGAUAUUCCUAUUGUAGAAAAUUUUAUUGAAAAAGAACCCAUUUCGGUAUUGGAGACGUUUGCUCCAGCUAUUGAAGCGAUAAACAAUACAUGUGGUGAUUCCAAGGAAAAUCAGACAAAAUUUCCAGUGAAAGAGAAGCCUACUGUACGUUUUAAGGUCGGGACUAAAAAUAAAUUAUUUGGAAGGUCAAUUGGUUUGAUUCCACAAAAAGAGGAGCAUAAAAAGACUUUGCCCUGGUUUGCAAUGGAAGAUGAGAAGGAUGACAGGAAAAGAAGGGCCGACAAAAUUUUGAGGGAAUCUUUGGAAAACCCAGAUCAGCUUGUUCAGUUGUAAAAUAGAUUGCUUUAUUAGAAUCUGUAUACUUGAUAAUGAGAAUAUCGGGAUAUUGAAAUCUGGCUAACUGUCUGCUUAUGGGCAUUAUAGGAUGGAUGUUACUAUUUUGCUCAGACAUUUUCCUAGUUUAACAAUUUUUCAGUGAAUACUAGAAUGCCACUAGGGUCAGGUUCCGAUGGGAACGGUGUGACACUGCCAUUUUGACCAUAGAAGUGUGAGUUUGGAUGAUCCUUGACGAGCUGGGCUGAAGCAGGUUUUCGAGCUCAAUCAACUGAACAAUUUUUUUUCCUAUAUUGGUUUCUUUGCAUUGUCAUUGUCAUCACUGCCUGUCUGCACUGCAACAUCAGCCUCUUCUCUGCUACUCCUCUCUUUCUCUCCUCGUAUGACUCAGAAGUUCUGUUUAUACCCCUCACCCUUAUGCAUUUGCAGUUUGUUGUUUUCCAUUAGUACUGAUAAAUCAUUUGCAUUCAGUAAGUUUCACAAGAAAUUCUCAUGCUUUAAGGAAUUUGUUGUACACAGUGUAUUCUCUUUAAAUUACUAAUUGACAUGAAAUGUAUAUAGAGCACCAAUCCUCUGAGCCAGGCAUGUAUCGGAACAUUAAGUAAACUUGAUGGCACAUUCUAUAUUGGAGCUA